UUGUCAUAUAGUUGUGCAAUCUCUCUAUGUGCAGUGGGAUAAUAAAAGGGACUUUCCGUGACUAUAUUGGAAUAUACGCCUAUGCAAAUGAGCAGUCGUCGCUUCCCUUAUAUACCAACUACUACGUGAGGCCCAUCAUGAACGCUGUGAGUUUGGAGAAGGCGGCUAAUGAUCUCCCAGUGCGCCUCUUUACCCAGACAGCACGGCAGGAUGAUUCAGCAGUGGCACGGCCGUGAUGCUGACAGCACUGUUGCCAAAAUGACUCAUCCUGAUGAUGAAGCCAAAGAAAGAAAAAGGAGAGAAAACCUCAUGAGCUCAAGACGGUUGCUGCUGAUUCUGCUCAGUGUCAGCCUUUUUCCAUGCUGAAGAGGACAUGGAUCAAAGCAAGAUCAACUCACUGUGGAACUUUCUCACCAUCCUUUAUAAAACAAGUCAAAGUAUCCAUUCAUUAAUCACUACCCACCCAGCACAAAUAAACAGCUUGCACCAAG